UAAAAUUAUAUUUUCAUCCACACCUUGAAAAAUAUUUCUAUUCCUUGUUUUAGACACUAUAAUUAUUUCAAAGCACUUUGGUUACACAUCUGCCCAGAUUUUUCUGCUGCCAAGUUCCAGUCAGUAGUCUUUAAGGCUGGAAAGAGAUCAAUUUCUUCAGCAUAGCCCAGCCCAAACAAUGUUCUAUUAUUUUACUAUAUCAACAGGUCACAUGUGCUGAUAUUGUUCAGGUAUUUAUAGAAUCUUUGCAUUUAUAGCUCCUCUGAUGCCUUUUAGAAGUAUAUUGGCUCCUAUUGUAUAAAAUAAAAAUAUUUAUUAUAAGUUGUGGCAGAUAGUGUUUAUGACAGUUUUAUAGCCCACAUGUUAAAGCUAAAAGGGAAGAAACUAUGCUACUUUGUUGUAUUUUUCCAGUGAUUUAUGUAAGUAUUUACUCCCUUUAGGAAAAUUUUGAAACAGUGAUGCUGAUCAUAUGGCCCAAAUAAGUAUCAGCUUGAUGUACUUUCACACAUAUUAUCUCAUUUUUUUUUUUUUUUUGCAUCUUGCAGGUAAAGAUUUGAUUUCUUUAGAAUCACAACACAUUGUUGGGCAAAUCAACAGAAUGAAAUUUAAACUUAUACUAUCAAAUUUAAAAAGCCUCUACAUGUAUUUUCCAGAACUAAUUCUCACUCUUUAAAUCAUCUGAGAACUUUUAAAAUCUGAUACAUGGACCAGACACCCAUGCCAAUGACAUUGGUUUUUCUGGGGACAGGACCUAGAUGACUGUACUUUUUAAGGUCUCCCAUGACUCCAGUGCUGUAAAGGUUCAUGGACCUUCACUUAGAGAAUUUCACUUAGAGAACCAUCCCAUUCAAACCAGGCCCAAAUGUCUCUCAGUCCCAGGCCUCAUCAAUGCUACUAUUGCUUUGACCCUGCCUUUUCUCAAGCUAGAAAUUGCCAGAAUUUCCUGACAACAGUCUUUGUAUGAUUCAAUUUAUGGGCCAGAACUCAUCUUCAUAACAAGAGAUUGUGAUAUGUAAAUCCACAGCCUACAGUCUCAUUGCCUAUAGAUAACCCAAACACCUUAACUCAAGAAGUCCUGCAUGGUGUAACUCUUUCAGUUGCAGAUUCACCCCAAAAGGCCCCUUGGUGAUGGGGUGCUCAUGUGCACAUACUGUUCUGCUCUUGUGGAGAGAGUCCUUAACCCCAUUCCCUUCCCUGGAAACUGACCUUCCAAAACCCAGCUGAAACAGUACCUCAUCUAAGACACUGUCCCUUGUUCUCCAGGAAGAAUUAACUGCCACAUCCUUGGGGCUCUCUUAGCACUUUGGCUUCCCCUUUAUUAGAACAAUUAUCAUGCAGGUAAAAUGGUUUUUCCAGUUAAUAAAAUGAAACUAUAUGCAAUACAAUAUAUUUGUUUUAUGCUCAUUUAACUCACAGGGGGAAAUAUCCAUAUUUUAAGGCUCAAGGAUUUUAAAAAUAUAGUUGAUCAGAUAAGAAUAUUAUUUGCUUGCUUGUUUUGUUUAUUUUUGCAUUUUUGUGCUUCCAACAAAAUUCCAGUUGAGAGAGAAAAUCAAUCCCUGGAAAAUAUGUCUAAAAUAUAAGAGAGAGAAGAAUUCCAAUAAAAAAAAAUAGGAGAGAUUUCAAUUAAUAUGUGAAAAGCAUUUCUUAAUAUACAUACAAUGCUUAUUUUGCAUGAGUUAUUUAUACAAACUGUUGGAGAAGAAAUAAAACUUUUAAAUUUGGGUUGCAGGGGAGGAUCUGUCACGUUUUUAGCUGAUUGAAAUGUCUACUGUUUUCAAAAUCUGCCCACAUGAUUUUUAGAUGUGACUUAGCUGUGAUUGCUGACUCAGAUUUUUACCUUUUAAGAAAUAGUUGUGCUUUUCCAUACACACCAUCAAACAAGAAGUAAGGAAUGACAUUUUAGAGUAAGAAAAUAAAAGCACAUUCACUAGUGAGCAUCAGAAUCACGGGAAAAGGGCAAAGAAACACACAUUACUGGGCUCCUUAGCCCAAGUUUUCGAUUCUGUAGAUCUGCACUAGAAACCCUAGUUUUGUGCUUCUAUUAUACCCUCAGAUGAUUCUCAUGCUGCUGAUCUGAAGACCACAUUUUGAUAAUUAUAUUAACAAUUUUAUUAAUAGUUAAAUUUUCACUGUAACGCAUAUAUCUGUUGACUGACAAUGAAUAGCCUGAUUGUGGCCAAACACUUGAGUGUUUCUAAAUAUCCAUACAUAGUCAUAGACCCAGAGAAGCAAACCACACCUAUAUUAAGAGUGUUUUCUUAUUGUUAUUUGGCCUACUUUUUAGUAUAUUUAAUUAUAUCAAUCUUGGAGGGGAAAAACUGUUUUUCUAAUCUUGGCAUCAUGGAUUUUCUAAAACAAUAGAUUUUAUCUUAAAUCUUUGGAUUUUCAUUCUUUGGAUAAAUAUAAGCAUAUGAGUUCCAGGCAACUUCUCAGUUUUUAAAAAUUUAAUAAAAUUGAUAAAUUUUGUCAAUAAACUCGGAGGAUCUCAUUUCCUUGCAGAAAUAUUCUAAAAAUAAAUGAUGAAACUUAUAACUGCUGCAUUUUGAAAAUUCACCAAAAUCAUUCUAUAAAUAUUAGAGGCAUGCUAUUAUCUUUACUAUGAUAUUGGCUAUAAACUUGUAUUAUAUGAAGACAAUACAUUGGACAAAUCAUAUCCUAUUACUGCCUAAGGAAAUAAAAACAAUAGGCAUGUGGUGUCUUACUUCUGUACCAUUUAUAGUAUUUGUUAACAUCUUUUAAUAACUUGUGGCUGAGAAUGAUGCACUUUAGGCUGUCGGGGAGCUUGGAGAAAUUAAUGGAUAUGCCCAAACUGAUCAAAGAACCUGGACUAGACUGAAGUCUGAAGACUCCCAAUAACUUUUCAUUAUCCCACCAUCUCCUUAGAUGGUCCAAGCAUGCUAUGCUCAGUCUGGGCAAGGAAACAGAGUCUCCCCUAGAACAUCCAGAAAGGAAUGCAACCCUGCUAACACCUUGAUUUUAGCCCUGAUUUGUGUCAGACUUUCAACUUACAGAACUAUAAGAAAAAUAAAAUGUUUUGUUAAGUCACUAAGAUAAUUUGUUGCACCUGGAAUAAAAACUAAUCACAGAGGACACAGAAAAUAGUCAAGAAAAAUAGAUAAAAUAUAUUAUAUGUUGGAUAUUGAUAUAAGUCAAGGAGAAAAGUAAGUCAGGGAAUGAAAUAGAAGUAUCAGCAGAGAAUACAGUUUUAGAUAGGGGAGCUUUCCAUGUGGACAUUUGUGUAGACUUGAAGGAGGCACAAGUAAAGAACAUUUCAGACAAAGGGAAUAGAAGGCCAAUGUCUCAGUCCAGGACAGUGACCUGCAUGACAAGAUUCUGAAUAUCAACAUUAAAAGAGCAAUUCCUACUAUACAAUAUCCAAACUUCCCCAAUAACCAUGUGUAAAGAUUUAGCAUAGUGGCUCAAAACUCUACAAAUGGCAUUCCAAUUUUACUGUAAAAGGAAGUAAACAGCCUUGUCUAAAUGACAUUGGUUACUUUUUCAUAUUUGCUGGAGAAUACAUGAAGAAAUUUGUACCAUAUUUAAAGAAUAUGAAUUCUUAAAAUAUCUUACAAUACCUUAUUGUUUGGUCUAAGAGACAACCUGAAGACAUCUAAUGUCUGAGUCCUUUUGGACCAUGUACUCAGGCCCAUUAUCAUCUAACAGCUUAUAGUACUUCAAAGGGAUCUCAGACUAUAUUUGAACUCAGACGAUAUUAGUGCUGGGGGGAAAAAGCUAUUGUAGUUAUUUUUUUUUUAUUAAAGACUGAUUUGCAUAUGCUAAAUAAACUAAAUUUAACAACAUUCACUAUUAAUCUUGAUGAAAUUGUCUACUGAUACUUCUAAGUACAAUCAUUCCUAAUCUAUGGAUUUAACCCAUGAAUUCAAGCAAGAAUCAAAAAUAUUUUAAAAAGGAAAAAAAGAAACAAGGAUUUUCCUGAACAUGUACAGACUUUUUUCCUUCAUGUUAUUCCCUAAAUAGUACAGUAUAGCAAUUAUUUACAUAGCAUUUGCAUUAUAUUACGUUUUAUAAGUAAUCUAGAGAUCAUUUAAAGUAUAUGGCUGUGUGUAGGUCCUGUGCAAAUACUAGGCCAUUUUAUAUAAAGGACUUGAAUAUCUAUGGCUUUUGGUAUCUGCAGGGGGUCCUGGAACCAACCUCUCACAGAUACAAAGGCCAAGUCAAUGGUUUUAUAUCCUUUUAAGUACCUGGAAGAAAAAACUGGCUGGCUGAUUUUUUUUUUAACAUUUUAUUAUAUCAUAUAUUUUAAUUUUUAGAGAAAAGAGAAUAGAAAUUUUGUGAUCUGUGUCAGUAGAAAUGUUAAUAUAUAAAGCAAAGAAAUGCCCAGGUAAUUAUUGAUGUCAUAAUAAACAUUCUGCAAUGAUGCUUCAUGGGAAACAUGCCUUACCUUGAUACUCAAAGAGUGAUGAAGCAGCAGCAUGAAUGUGACCUGGGAGCCUGGUAGAAAUGCAGAUUCUUGGACCCUACCCCAGACCUGCUGGGUCACAAUCUGCAUUCUAGCCAGAUCCCAGCUGAUUCAUAUGCACAUUUGGUGUGGGGAGCACUGCACUGGGGCAAUACCAGAGACUCCCCUUUGGAAGCAUGCCACCCAGUAUUUUGUGUUUUAGAUCCUGACAGGUCCACAUGAAAUCACAUUAUUUUAAAUAGACUCCUCUAGCUACAAGGAAGUAGGUCGAUAGUGUGAUGCUUUUGGAAGUUUUCCAACUCUUUUGGCCAUAUAUUGUUUAUAUUUCAAAACCUUAAAUUGGUCAACAUAUUUUUAAUGAUAUAGUAGUUUAAGUUGAGAGGUGAAGGGUACAGAAGUUUAAUUAGUUCACAGGAAGGUAUAUUGUGAAUACAGAGGAAGACGAAAAAGAAAACAAACUUCUUGUUAAAUCAAGAUUUCUGAGUUGAAAGAAGACACCAAUGCCCUCUGGUUCAGCAGAGAACAAGCUAUGAUGUGAUCCUUCAAAGGCCAAUGCCUGUGUCCCCUGUUGCUGCUCACGCAGAGAGCUCACCAUUCUCCCAGACAGUAUCGAUGUCUUAUUGGCUGGUUUUGUGUUGUUGGCAUGGUCUUGCUUUCACUGAAUCUUCUGCCUCCCUAAAAUUUCCAAGUAGUGUUGCUCCUACUGUGAAGCUUGGACACACAUGGGGCCAGUGAAAUUCCGUUUUCAUGUAUCACUCUUUUGUAUCUGUCACCAUUACACCUGUUCCCUAUGCUUUCUAUUCCUUAACUACCCUUACACUAUUGCAUCUCUUUUGCUGUUCUAGUGACCCUCUUUAGACUAGCUUCUAUCUUAUAACAUUCUUUUUUUUUAAUUUUGUGGCACAAAGGAAAACAAAAAUUUCUGCUAUGAUCCAGUUAGCUCAGAGCACCAUAGAUACUUUUUUUUUUUUUUUUGGUCAUUCUGGGCAUUAUUUGUCAAUAAAUGUGACUUUAGAUUACAUAGACUCUUUCGCUGCCACAUCCAAUUGUUCUCACCUCAUGCACUUAAUUAAAAGUGCUCAGCUCAGGCACCAUCGCCCUCCCUCUUGGUAGCUGCUCAAUUAGAUGUUUCUGUUUUAGACAAAGGGCAGGACUUCAAAUGCAUCCCUAUUUAAUUCUGUUGCAUUGUUAUAUUUGGGCCUUUAUGCUCUUUUUAUACGCUGAUCCUGUUGUUCAUUCUGUUAGUUAUCCUUCCCAGUUUGAAGUCAUCGUAUUCUUUUCCCAAACCACAUUCCUUUACCUAAUAACAUCUGUCAUUGCUCCCUCCAUCCUUCUUAAACAAGCUUUGUCAUAUGUCUGAUAGGAUCUCUAUAGCUGAUUUUUACUCAGUAUGGAUUUGUUUUCUGGCAUAUGCGUAUGUGUUCUUCACUAUGUCACUUAAACACCAUGCUCCUAUUAGAUUACCAACAGUCUUCUGUUUCUUCUUUUCAGUUUUGCUUACCUUUAAGUAUAAGUUUAUGUCUUUGACUUUAGCUGGAUGAUGGUGGUUGAUGGCUGAUGGGCGGCUAAUACAAAAGGAGGAGUUGAGGAUGUGGUGUUUCAGAUAUAAUAGAAGAAUGUUUAAGAAAUAUCUUUUAAUGAAUAAUAUGCUAACUUUUGUUAGCAGAAUAGGGGGUUCAAAUGAAAGUAGAGGCACAUCAAAGAAGGCCAUAAUUGGCUUAUUCUUUAUGUUUCUAGCCCAUAGUGAUUGUAUAUUAGCCAAGUAUCUUGCAUUUGAUUUUAAAACAAACCAGAAGUAGAUGGCUCAGAAAUUGAUGACUCAAUAAAAUCAUUGAUAAACCCCUUGCUACAGUGGCUUUGUUAAUUAACUAUCUGAGACAGCAGAAUUAAAACAGAAGGAAUUGGUGUAACAUUUAGAAGCAAGGCUAUAACAUUUUUCCUUUCAGCUGCAGACACCUUAAUUCCUUAAGCAUAUAACUUUUUUGAAGUGAAUAGGUCAUAUUUUACUUUGCAAUGAAGGCUUGAAAUACUGGAAGGUUCACUUUAUCUCAUCAGGAUCGAGUACAUUAGGCUUCAUCCAUUCUAGUUUCUCUCAAAUGCUAGAAGGAUAACGUUCAAGUAAACGUCUUCUUUGCCUGCUAUAAUAUACUUUUCUGUGGUGAUUUUUAAAAAAGGAAUCAUUUGUAAAGAUAGUGCUAGAAAAUGGAUAGUGUUUUGAAUAUUUUAAAAGCCUUAUAGGAUUUUUUUUAAAAAAGCAUGUUAUAAAAAGUAUAUUUAGUACCAUCCAAUUUUUAUAAAUUUAUGCAUUGGCUUAUUCAUAGUCAGAAGGAAAAGGACACAUGUAUGAACAUACUCAUGUGCACACACAGCAUAACCACCACCAAACUGUUCAAUGAUUAUUUCAGAGUAAGUAGGAUUGCAGAUACUUCUAAAUAGUCACAUUUUUGGUCUAUAUUUUCUGUUCUAAGCUCUUCUUUUAGCAUGAGAAGAAAAAAAUAAUGCUUAAUUAAAAAUUUCCCCAAAAGCAUUCUUUAUAAUAGUGAAAAAGGGAAAUGAACAAAAUGUCUAUUAAUAGGAUGGCUACGUAAACAAAAAAGAACAAGUAAGAAAUAAAAUGAAACAAUGGGAAAAAAUUCCCAUUGCUAUCAUAAAGGUUAAUCCACAUUCAGAUUUCCUGUGGUUUUAGAUAACAUAAUAAGCCAACUCCCUAAAAUAGCAAACGUUAUAGAUAAUCAAAAUAUAUAUGAGUUUAGCUUUCCUAAACAUUAAAAUAAAGAUGGGAAGAAAAAAAUGCACUGAAACAAGUAUACACUUAUUUUGGAAACAUAUCUUCUAGGUAUAAUGUUCUUUACUCAAACCACCAGUAGAAUGGUGGCCAGCAGACGUCAGUCUGUGUCUUUUCCUGCAUGGUCCUUAGCUGUCAUUGAGUGCCUGCAGAGAGCCAUAGAGAGAUUUGAGGGAAUCCACUUCCAUGAGUCUGUUUGCCUGUAGUAUUACUUGAGAAUGUUUACCUCUGAUGCAUACUGCAGUGCUCCAGGGUGUAGCACAAGGCACAGGAAGCAAUGGAAUGACUUUUCCUGCACAUCUAAUUUUGAUGGCUCUUAUAUGAUGGUUCUUAUAAAGUGAAAAUGUUUAUGACUACAACAGUGUGCUUUUGGUAAAAGGAAAUAUCUUUUUUUUAAAGAGAAACUUAUUAAAAUUAUUAAAUAGUUUUCAUAGGGGCAGACUUUUUUUCUACUUUCAAUGUUAGUGAGCGACCCUCUGUGAUUUUAAUACAACUGAGGUCUUCCAAGAAAGAAUUUAGUGCAGAAUAAGAUGCACCACCUAAUCUUGUAAGAAACCCUAUGCAAUGGACCAACCCUAGGGCAGAUAUGAAGCUCUCUCAGAGACUGUAUAGGAAAUCCAGUCAUGUGAAAUUCAAAUGGAAACAGAGAACUCCAUUUUAGAGUUCAAGUUGCAUAAAUAUCCUAGAAAUGUUUUAAUGGUUCAAAACUGAUAUUUGGUAACUGUAUAAAUUGUGUUAGAUUAUAAUAAUUUACAAAAUAUGUCUACAAUGUUAAGGUACAAAACACUAGGAUAGAUUUUAAAGCUCUGUGUGGACCACAAGGCUUCUGGUUUUGCAGGUGUACUUUGAUUUACAUCUUUUCAGUUUGGGGAGCAGGUGUGUGUGAGCAAAAUGUAAAAUAAGGUAAGAGGGGAAGAGAAGUGAAUGAGUGAGUGAGAGAGAGAGAGAGAGAGAAGCAAAAGAUAAAAAGCCAUUGAUAAUGGCAUUGGGUGACAUUCAUUUCAAAAGCCACAUACCCCAAUUUAGAAGAUUUGCAUUUAGGACUAAUUAAAUUAUAAGCUAAUUGAGCAGGGACUGAGUUAAACCAACUGACAGUGCUUCAUAAAUAUUCAUACUAACAAUGAUAGAAGAUGUUCUGUUUCAAGGCUAAAAACUUUUUCUAGACUGCCUGCCUUGUGAAUCUUAGAAAGUCAAUGUUGUUCCAUUCCUGAAUUUUUCUAUUUUAAGGAUAAUUCUUACUCAGGUUAACAGAAACACUCUUAACUCUGUAGUGGCAGAGCCCCUCUGUAAAUUGAGGAAGUUCUCCACGUGUAAUGCACUGAAAAUGGCAGGCAUUUCAGAAUUACAUCUUGUAGCUCGUUAAUGUGAAAUGGCAUAAGCAAUUUCACUGCACCAUAAGAUUCUUUGCCUGGAAUUCGCACUUUAAUAACAGCAAGUGUUAAAAAUUGCUACUGAUUUCUCUAGCUCUCUUGGAAAUAAAAUGGUCUUCUCAAAUUACAGCAUUGGUACAUUAAGAGUUACUCUGGUGGCCUAAAUGAGUAAGUUACUGUGCAGCUUAAACAUCUGGCACAUACCCGGAAGUAGCUCAGGACUGGGGACAUCGACCUCGCCAGCUACUCAAUUGCCAUUUGUGUAAAACAGUGGGUAGUGAGGCUGUUUGUGUGUGGCUAGCAACUGUCUCUAAGUCUUGGGUUUAUAGGAGAAUAAAGUGCACUCCAGUACCAUGAGCAUACGUAUGUGACUAUUUGCCUUGAUUCAUAAGACUUGCUUUAAAAGUACACUUCAAAUAAACACCCUUUUAAAUUUAAUUUUUCUCACAUUUCUAUAUGGUUAAUCUUAGUUCAAGAAUAAGUAUUUAAAUGAUAGUCAUUCAAUGGACUAUUCCAAGUAAAUUUUAAUUUUUUUUUCUUCUAAGGAGCUGAACUGAUUCACAAGUAUACUUUCCAUUAGCUCUGUUUUGGUUCAAGUGUAAUAUAUUUUUUUAUUAUUUAUUUAUGUAUGAUGAGGCUUUUGCACUCCUAGUAUUUAUUUUUCUAAAUUGUAAAUACAGGAAGUUAUACAAUGUUCUAUAAUAAUUCCAAAGUUUACUUUUCUUUUAAUCUCAAGGAAAGCUUUUUCUAUUCAUUCAGAACUCUGUUUAAUGUAUCUGACAGCCAGCUACACCUUAUUUGAAAUGUAAAUUAAUGUAAAAACUUUUUACAUUGUCCAUAAAUGAUCAGCUACUGUCUUCAUAUCUUCAAGUUCAUCAAUAGUCAACAUUCACCCUUUAAUGGUGAUCAAAUAUUUAACUGUUUACUAUGUACCAGAUACUUUUCUACCUUCUGGGAAAGACAGAUCUAGAAUUACAAGUGUAUCAAGUAUUAUAACAGAGAGUUGGAAGGUGCCUCAGAUCAAAUAAAAGGAUAAUAUAAACGUAAUUAUAGAAGUGGGAUUGAUGAAGUGGGAUCAAUUGUAGAAAUGGGAUUGAUGAGGAUAGUGUUAGAAAAGGCAACUUUGAAAGAAUUAACCAGGAAGUCAUGGAAUGUGGAGUGUUGGAAGAUGGGAAAAGAGAAUAUUUGGCAAAAAUGGGCAAAGAGUAUAUUUGAUAUUUACUCAAAAAGAACUUAGAGGCCAGUGUUGGCUGGUGAAGAAUGGAGUGCUGAGGGGCAAGUGUUGACUGGCAGGGCCAAGUGGGAGGCCAUGUCUAUAAGUGAAGGUAAGAGAUGAGGAUGACCUGGAUUAGGAAAACAAACAAACAAACAAACAUUCUGUCUUUUAACCUGCAAAAAUGACUGUUGGCUCUGUUUCUCCUCCAUACCAGGCUUGAGGUCCCCAUGUUACCAGCAAGAUUCUGGGCAGUCAUGCAUCUAUUUCCAUUUUGAUUCUGAGUUGGCUACUUCAUGCAAGAUGAGUCAAGUCUCUCUGACGCAACAUAGGAACACAUUUCUGUAGACACAGGACACCUUCUGCUCCCUCCAGCCACUUUUUCCCCAGGUCUUCCUGCCUUAACUCCCCUUCCCCCAUUCUCAGUGGCACGUCAUUCUCCAUUGCUGUCCCAGUUCUGCCUUUGUUUCCUGUUUAUUUUGCAGUGGAGAUUUUUGAGUAAUGAUCCCCUAUAGUUUCUUUGGCUUCCUUGAAAUAUACCUAGUUAAUCAUGGUAAACCUUUAUGAUGCCUCCAUGUCUCUUCAUCUCAGGAAUGUAAAUGUUCAUAGUAUAUCUACAAGAACAAUUUCCAUGCUAGUAUCUGAAACUGAGUAGUUUCUAAUACAUACAAAUAUUUCAUUGUUUAUGGACAGCUCUUUUGCAUCUCUUAAAGCAGCAAAAUAAUCAAAAUAUUGACAUUAUUCUGUGAAUUGGUAGUUGAAAUUUAAGGACUUAAGAAGGUUUUAUUGAUUUAAAAAUAAAAGUUCGUAGUAAAUCUUGAGUCCUUUCUUAACUCCUACCCAUUGAAUUUUUCUUUGAAUCCCAUGAAAUGUGGCCUCUAUCCCAUCAUCUUAAAUUUACUUUCCUCUUAUACUUCUCUUAGGUCUCCUUCUUUCAUAUGAAACACAUUCUAAUGUGAGCCUCAGUUUCCCUGAGAGGCACUUUUCCACAAUGCUCAUGGCCUUUCUGCUCUUCCCACAUGGGUCUUAAUACCUACCAUGAGCCUUCUUGCCUCUGUGCCUUUCUUUCAUGCAUUCAUUGAGAAUCAGUUCCAUGAAACUUUUAAGCACUUUUGUCAGACAUGGCGUCAGCACACUAAAGAUUACAGAUGAAUAAGGCAUGAUUGCUGGUCACUGGUAACAAACAUGGGGCAGGGAGAACAGCCUCAUUUAUAAGUCAUAAAUACUUAGGUACUGACAUAGAGGUUUGUUUUUGUUUUUUUUUGUUGUUGUUGUUGUUUUUUUAUGUAAUGAGGUAUAGGUAUGCUUUACUCCAACAAAUCCAAUAUUUCUGACUAAUUCUUGCGCUUCCCCAGUGCUAGUCUAUCAUCUUUCUCUUAGAUAAUAGCACUACUCCUCUAACCAGUUUUCUUACUUAUACUUUUGUCUCAUCCAGUUUAGUCUCCACAUAUCAGAGUUAGUCUACAAAAACAGUAAUUAGAUCACAUUGCAUUACUUCCUGCUGUCAGCCAUCCAAUGGCAUCCCAUCUCACUUAGGGUCAGUCAAAUUCUUGCUAUGUCUUUCACAUGUCUAUGUGAUUUAAUCACUACCAACCUCCUUCAAGCCAUCUGGAUCUGACCUCUUCUCAGGCCACUCUUCCCUCACCCACUCACUUCUCCAGAAUAUGCUAAGAAUGUUCUGCCUCACGACCUUUGCUCUAACUGUUCCCAAUGCCAGAGAAUCUCUUCCUCUAAGUAUCUGCAUGGCUGGUUCCACCCUGCCCUUCAGAUCUCUGUUCAUAAGUCACUUUAUCAGUAAUCCUUUCCUGUCCAUGCUUUUCUUUCUACCUUGACACUCCCUGCUGCAUUUUUCUUCACAGCAUCUAUGCCUACUGCAUCCUUUCUUAUUUCUCUGUUUAUUGACUUCUUCUGUCAAGAAUUUAAGUUCUAUGAGGGCAAGAGAGCUUUUGUCUAUUUCUUCACUGUUCCAUCCACAGUGCCCAAGAUGAUACCUGGCAGUAAGAAGUGCUCAAAAAAUAUAUGUAAAAGAAGGACAGAGGAAGAGAAGGAGAGAGGAAUGUGGAGGAAUAUGGAAGAAGUGAGAGAGGCAGAAAAGGAAGCAGGAAGUUUGGAAAGAAGAUAUGAAGGGACGAAAAAAGGAUGGUAGGGAGGAAGGAAGGACAGAAGAAAGUCUCGUUUGUAAUAGUAAGUACUUUUGGUAUUCCUCUUCUUUAAUGCUGUGAGAGAAUGCACCUGCCUGAUGUAGAACAAAUGGCUUUUGGAAACAAAAACCAAAAGGUAAAAACAUAAUGUGAACAGUAAAGAAUAACACACCACGUGAUGCUGGUAAGGAUUCUAAGCUGUAGUCGAAUACCCCUCUAUUUUCUAAGGGAGGAGCCUAGCCUUACGGAAGAUGGGGGCCGGGUGGAGUGGGGUUGUUGCUGUGCAAGUAGAAAGAAGGUAGGUUACAGAGAAUGUUUAUGAAAUAUUCAUUCACACCUGCUUAUUGGUGAGAUGAACAGCCUGUGGUUCUAAGCUGGAAAUUAUUCACUUAAAUGCAACUUUGAAAUAUUGUCUGAAGAUCCCAAAUGGAAACAGAUGUGGGCAAUAUCGAGAGAUUUUUUUUUCAAUCUGUCAGUUUGUUUCUAAAAGAAGGCUAAAAUUUUAAAAAUAAUACUUAAUUUUUGCUUGCUUAACUAUGAAGCCUUAUACUUAAAUGGUUUAGGAACAUAUGAUCAUGAAUAUAUGUAUAAGCUUCACCUAGUAAAAUUCUCAAAGCUUUUGAUAAUAAAUGUGUAUAAUCUAUAUAAAUGAGAGAAAUACCAAUGAACUCAAACAUAAUCUAUUCCAUAUUUUGUGGGUGUCUUCUCUUUCUUAUUUUACAUGUAUGGCUCCUGUGUACAUAUGAAAUAACAUACGGAAUACAAUUGUAUUUAUAAUGGUAUUUUGCCUAUAUUUGCAGUCAUUUUUAUAUUGCUAUAGAUUUCAAGAUUUAAACAUGUGUGGUAAAUAGUAUGCUCAUGUCAAUGUCAGCAUUGCCAUUUUGAUAAUAACACAUUAACUCUACCAUAAAUUGAAAUUUUCUAUUGAAUAUAAGUGAGUAAAUAUAUUAUUAAAAUACAUUAACAUUUAUGAUGAACAAAUCGCAAAGGUUCAAAGGUUUUCGGGACAGGUGCCAGUGACUAAACGUUUUUUCUCCCAAUUACUGUGCGUACCUCAUUCAGUUUUCUGCUCCAUGAGAAUGUCAUCCCUCUGCCUCUGCUUCAUUUAGUUUUUCUCUGUAUUCAACUCAGACUCCAUGUCAUGCACAAAGAAAGCCUCCCUCAAGUCUUCCAACACAUGCUGGUUUGUCCCUGCCCUAAAAUCAUUCUUUAAUAGAGUCCAUGUAUUAUGUCUGGAGCUGCCAUAACCAAGAACUGUAGACUGGUAGUAUAAAUGAUAGAAACUUAUUUCCUGACUAUUCUGAAGGCUAGAAAUCUGAGAUCUAGGUGUCAGCAGGACUUGUUUCUUCUGAGGCUCUCUCCUUGGCUUGUGGAUGGCCGUCUUUUCCCUGUGCCUUCAUGUGGGCUUCGUUCCACAUGUGUGUGUGUCCUAAUCUCCUCUUCUUAUAAGGACACCAGCCAUAUUGGAUUAAGGCUCACCAGAAUGACUUCGUCUUAACUUAAUUACCUCCUUAAAGACCCUGUCUUCAAAGAUAGUCAUAUUUUGGGGGGUAUGAAGGGUUAGGACUUCAAUAUAUGAAUUUUGGGAGUACACAAUUCAGCCCAUAAAUGUCCAUAUUAUAAUUUCUCACUUCAUUAAUCAUUCCAUGUAUAUUCAUUCUGUAUUCCCCAGUUAGAUCACAUUUUAAAUUUUCUUUACUUUGUUCACAGUACUUAGAGGGCUGGGCACAUAAUAUUAAAUACUACAUAUUUUUUGUCUAAAAGUACUGGAAAGAGUAGAAUAAAAGACCAAGUGAGAGUCCUUUUUAUUAUUAUUGUUGACUUCAGCACCCUUAUCUUGACAGAAAGAAACCAGUAUCAGAGGUCUCAGAUCAGGCAGUGGAAAAAUGACCUGUCUAUGUUUUUUCCCUGGAAGCUCCAUGAGCAUUAUGGUCAGCAGAGGCAACUAGAGAAAGGAAAUGCUGAUCUCUGCAAAUGGGCAAAAGUAUAAAAGGUGUUGAACCCAGCCACAUACCACAGAAAAGAAUUUGGGCUUGUGGAAAAUAAUUAUCUAGUUAUGAGUCUUCAGAACUAGAGGCAGAUUUUUGGAGGGAAAAAUCAUUAAUACAUUUAUAGUCAUAAGAUAGUAGAUUGGAUGUUCUGGAACUAAAAUAAAUUUUGGUUCUAGAAAUCAUGUUUUAAAUUCUGAAAACAUACUUAAUUCUUACUAGUAAUUCUAACUUUGCACAUUCUGAUUUAAAUGUAAGACGAUUAUCUCAUUAUAUUUUAAGUGCUAAAAUGUUGGCUCAGUUUGUAUGAUUUUCUCUAGUUUUUAUUAUAUUCCAUUUUUCUUAAUUUCAACAGCUAAUAUUCAAAAGUAUUUUCUGUGCUUUAAAAUAGGAUCAUCCUAAAUGCAAAUUAUGCAAAUAUGAUUUAAUGCUGAUGUAAACAUAACUCCACAAUGUUAGAGAAAAUCCUAAGAAAAUACAAAACUUACCAAACUUCAAGAUAACCAUGUUACUGUCUCUUACUAGACACAAGUCCUUGGGUGACUUACUAAGCUGACAUGAGUCUGAGGUAAAAAGGAAAUCUGUAAAAAGGAAAUCAGAAUACCUACUUUACUGGGUAGUUGCUGAUAUUAAAAUAUGCAAAGCAGCUAGACCUGUCCUUGCAGAAUAGUUGAGCUCAAGAAAUGUUCUUUUCUUUUAUCUCUCUCCUUCACGUUGAAUUUUGCCCAGUGGAUUAUCCAUCUAUCAUAGAGAAGUGGAGAUUUGAUUGAUUCGUUGAUUGAAUCAGCAUUAAACAAUGUUUAUGUAUUCAUA